rnacentral:rRNA from 1 species
AUUGAACGCUGGCGGCAGGCCUAACACAUGCAAGUCGAGCGAGCGGCGGACGGGUGAGUAAUGUCUGGGAAACUGCCUGAUGGAGGGGGAUAACUACUGGAAACGGUAGCUAAUACCGCAUCCCAUCAGAUGUGCCCAGAUGGGAUUAGCUAGUAGGUGGGGUAAUGGCUCACCUAGGCGACGAUACCUAGCUGGUCUGAGAGGAUUACCAGCCACACUGGAACUGAGCCACGGUCCAGACUCCUACGUGAGGCAGCAUUGGGGAAUAUUACACAAUGGGUGCAAGCCUGAUGCAGCCAUGCCGCGUGUAUGAAGAAGGCCUUCGGGUUGUAAAGUACUUUCAGCGAGGAGGCGUUACUCGCAGAAGAAGCACCGGCUAACUCCGUGCCAGCAGCCGCGGUAAUAC